rnacentral:lncRNA from 1 species
UUAACACCCUAUAACCCACUACACCAGAACACCCUAUAACACUACCACACAUACACACCCUUAACCACACCCAGUUAAACACCCAUAGAUCCACUCCUGAACCUACUACACAGAACACACCCGUAUAACCACCCUGUAACCACUACCACCAGUUAACACCCUAUAACCACCCUGUACCACACACACAGUUAACACCCUAUAAACACACACACCCAGUUAACACCCUAUAACCACCCUGUAACCACUACACCAGUUAACACCCCCCUAGUAACCACCUGUAACCCACUCACCAGUUCAACACCCUGUAACCACUCCACCAGUUACACCCUGUUAAACCACCCGAACCACUACACCACGUUAACACCCUGUAACCACUACACCAGCUAACACCCUAUAACCACCCUGUAACCACUACACCAGUUAACACCCUAUAACCACUACACCAGUUAAAACCCUUAUAACCACUACAACCAGUUAACACCCUAGAAACCACCUUGUAACCACUACACCAGUUAACACCCUAUAACCACCCCUGUAACCACUACACCCGUUAACACCCUAGAACCACCCUGUAACCCACUACACCAUUAAACACCCUAAACCACCCUGUAACCACUACACCAGUUAACCCCCUAUAACCACUACACCAGUUAAACACCUA